CCUCCUUUUGCCCCUCCUUGCCCUAAUUUUAGGUAUUGUAAACAAAUCCUUUUUGCGGACACUUCUUUCUUGCCUGCGAGGAAUACGGAAGUAGAUAUUAAAAAGCAGGAAAGGGGCAUCAACCAUAUUAUUCAGAAUCUUAAAUAGAUAAAUUGCAUCGUUACAGUCUCUCCUUUCAGCAAGGCCUGACAGCUUGUGUACUUUUAAUGAAUUGCUAUAAUCUAUAUAA
rnacentral:misc_RNA from 1 species